rnacentral:rRNA from 1 species
AGAGUUUGAUCCUGGCUCAGGACGAACGCUGGCGGCGCGCCUAACACAUGCAAGUCGAACGAGCGAGAGAGAGCUUGCUUUCUCGAGCGAGUGGCGAACGGGUGAGUAACGCGUGAGGAAUCUGCCUCAAAGAGGGGGGACAACAGUUGGAAACGACUGCUAAUACCGCAUAAGCCCACGGUGCCGCAUGGCACAGAGGGAAAAGGAGUAAUCCGCUUUGAGAUGGCCUCGCGUCCGAUUAGCUAGUUGGUGAGGUAAUGGCCCACCAAGGCGACGAUCGGUAGCCGGACUGAGAGGUUGAACGGCCACAUUGGGACUGAGACACGGCCCAGACUCCUACGGGAGGCAGCAGUGGGGAAUAUUGCACAAUGGGGGAAACCCUGAUGCAGCGACGCCGCGUGGAGGAAGAAGGUCUUCGGAUUGUAAACUCCUGUUGUUGGGGAAGAUAAUGACGGUACCCAACAAGGAAGUGACGGCUAACUACGUGCCAGCAGCCGCGGUAAAACGUAGGUCACAAGCGUUGUCCGGAAUUACUGGGUGUAAAGGGAGCGCAGGCGGGAAGACAAGUUGGAAGUGAAAUCUAUGGGCUCAACCCAUAAACUGCUUUCAAAACUGUUUUUCUUGAGUAGUGCAGAGGUAGGCGGAAUUCCCGGUGUAGCGGUGGAAUGCGUAGAUAUCGGGAGGAACACCAGUGGCGAAGGCGGCCUACUGGGCACCAACUGACGCUGAGGCUCGAAAGUGUGGGUAGCAAACAGGAUUAGAUACCCUGGUAGUCCACACCGUAAACGAAGAAUUCUAGGGGGUUGGAGGAU